rnacentral:sRNA from 1 species
AUCAACGGGGAUGUAGCUCAAAUGGUAGAGC